rnacentral:rRNA from 1 species
CAGCAGCCGCGGUAAUACGUAGGGCGCAAGCGUUAUCCGGAAUUAUUGGGCGUAAAGAGCUCGUAGGCGGUUUGUCGCGUCUGCUGUGAAAACCCGAGGCUCAACCUCGGGCCUGCAUUGGGUACGGGCAGACUAGAGUGCGGUAGGGGAGAUUGGAAUUCCUGGUGUAACGGUGGAAUGCCCAAAUAUCAGGAGGAACACCGAUGGCGAAAGCAGAUCUCUGGGCCGUAACUGACGCUUAAGACCGAAAGGGUGGGGAGCAAACAGGCUUAAAUACCCUGGUAGUCCACCCCGUAAACGUUGGGAACUAGUUGUGGGGUCCAUUCCACGGAUUCCGUGACGCAGCUAACGCAUUAAGUUCCCCGCCUGGGGAGUACGGCCGCAAGGCUAAAACUCAAA